AUCGGAAGAGGAUGGGCGAUGCGGCGCAUUAGCUUGACGGCGGGGUAACGGCCCGACCGUCGGCGACGAUGCGUAGGGGUUCGUGAGAGGAAGGUCCCCACCACUGGUACUGAGACACGGACCACGACUCCUACGGAGGCGAGCAGUGAGGAAUAUUGGUCAAUGGGAGGAGAUCCUGAACCAGCCAAGCCGCGUGAGGGAAGACGGCCCUAUGGGUUGUAAACCUCUUUUGUCGGAGAACAAAACCCGGGACGUGUCCCGGACUGCGUGUAUCCGAAGAAAAAGCAUCGGCUAACUCCGUG
rnacentral:rRNA from 1 species